UCUGGUUUCUGCUACACAAUGUGAA
rnacentral:piRNA from 1 species